CUACGGGAGGCAGCAGUGAGGAAUAUUGGUCAAUGGCCGGAAGGCUGAACCAGCCAAGCCGCGUGAAGGACGAAGGUGCCAAGCAUUGUAAACUUCUUUUGUCAAGGGACAAAAUCAGGCUCGAGAGCCUGACCGAGGGUACUUGAAGAAAAAGCAUCGGCUAACUCCGUACCAGCAGCCGCGGUAAUACGGAGGAUGCGAGCGUUAUCCGGAUUUAUUGGGUUUAAAGGGUGCGUAGGCGGACUGUUAAGUCAGCGGUAAAAGCCCGGGGCUCAACCCCGGCGAGCCGUUGAAACUGGCUGUCU
rnacentral:rRNA from 1 species